rnacentral:rRNA from 1 species
UACGUAGGUGGCAAGCGUUGUCCGGAUUUACUGGGCGUAAAGAGCGCGCAGGCGGUCGACCAAGUCGCGUGUGAAAGCCCCCGGCUCAACUGGGGAGGGUCACGCGAUACUGAUCGACUCGAAGGCAGGAGAGGGUAGUGGAAUUCCCGGUGUAGUGGUGAAAUUCGUAGAUAUCGGGAGGAACACCAGUGGCGAAGGCGACUACCUGGCCUGUUCUUGACGCUGAGGCGCGAAAGCUAGGGGAGCAAACGGG